CGAUCCCAAAAGUAUAAGCUACAUCAACAGCUUCAAUUUUCAUUCCAUUGUUCAUCAUUCUCUCUAAAAUACCUGAAACCCUGGCAACAAGAACUGGGGAUCUUCUAAGUGCAUCCGCAAUCUGCUUUGAAUUACUCAACCGAAUCAAAUCCCAAAUAUCCUCAUUGGUAAAACCCUUUGGGAUCCCAUAACAACCGAUU
rnacentral:misc_RNA from 1 species